CUCUUGGCUCUUCUGCUCGUAGUUGACGGCGAGCUCCUCCAGCGCCUGCAGCACCUCCUUCACCUCCUCCUUGGUCAGCUGGUUCUCCGUUUGCAGCCGGCACAGCUCCUCCUGGGAGGGACGUGGGGUCAGAGUGAGUUCAUGCAAAAAUGAUCAUCCUUAUGAAAUCCAUGUUUAAAUGAAAAUACUUGAUAUUUCUUUUGUAUUUCAUAGGCUGAGAGACAAACCUCCUCUGGUCCAUCUUCUGCUCCUUGAGUUUGUCAGCCAGACUCUGUUGGUUGAUCUCAUCAUCCUGUGAAUUAUUACAAGAAAAGGACAUCAACUGUUUGUACAGGUUGCUGAUGUCCUCCUCGUAUUUGCUCCGCUCGUGGCAACAAUAUUAUUUGACUUUUCUUUCACAAAGCUGAACUGUACCUGUAGGUCUGUCUUGAUGAGCGAGGCUCCUGCUUGGACCAGAUAAUGACAGAUAGUUCUUUGACACAGGGACGCAGCUCGGUGAAGGACCGUCUCCCCCCUGGUCAACAGAAGAGAGAGAGAGAGAGACAACAUCACCCGAGGAACAGACAUCAACGGUGUCUGCUGCUUCUUUUGGUGUCUUGUGUUUAUGAUGGCACAUAUAUCAUCACAUAUAGACCGAACAGAGAUCAGAGCACAGAUACAGACACAGCAUCAUCAUCUACACUCUGUUAACAUUUAAAUAAAGUGUUUAGCAUUUUAAAAACCUCAUGGUUUCAGUUCAAUGUUAGAUGUUUUCAAGCACAAAUAGAAUCUGUACUUACUGCAGUUUUUCUGUAACGACUAAAAACUACUUAAAAGGCAGGGUUGGUGAUUUUCUCCAGAUCCACUUUUUAAGAUUGUGGUUGAAAUUGUCUUUUGGUCCUGACAAUGAAAGCAAUGAGCUGAGGUCUGCUUCUGGGUGCAGACGGAGCACUGAGGGAAUACUACUUUUAGAAAAUGAUCAACCCUGCCUUUAACCCAGACAAGACUCUCUCUUACCUGCUUUUAGUAAAGUGUCUUGAGAUAACAUUUGUAUUGAGUUGGCGCUCUACAAAAUAAAGAUUGAUUGAACUGACUUAUUGUUUUACAAGCCUGUCAUUGAAAGUUUCCCAUUUAUUCAAACACUAGAAUACAGAAAGAAAAAAACUACAUAUUCCUAUUUUGAAUAAAACUACAUACAUACCUAUGAUGAAAAGAACCCACAUACAUUCAUUAAUGGUAAAUAAAACAACUACUAAGGAUUCUUUUAAUGAGCUACAUCUGGUUAUUUGGUAUACUCUUAAAGGUACAGGUAAAGGUACUGCUACAGGAAGUGACUGUUCAAACAGGAAGUGCCCUGCCUAUAAAGGAAGCAGGAAGUUGAGGGUUCCUUCUUUAAUCUUCAAGACUGCACACAGCAGGCAGCAACAGAAAUUUUUCACUCCUUCUUCAAUCUGGUGAAUAAAUGAAAAGAGGAGUUUGUCUGACUGUCAACCUACGUGCACCAAACAGGUGGAGGACUGUACACACACCUGUGGAGGAUGUAGAGGACCAUCUCUUUACUUCCUGCACUGGCAGCGUGAUGACGUCACCUGCAGCCGGACGAGUCGAGUGACGUGAGGGGCAGCCUGACCAAAACAAGAUGAAGAGCUGUUAACAUGUAUGCUACACCACGCUGCCUCACCUGUUUCAACAUCUGGUGUUUCCUCGCUCUGAGAACUCUGAUCUGUGCUGCAGCUGGAAGGAUUUUCUUU